rnacentral:rRNA from 1 species
AGUAAAGUCGUAACAAGGUUUCCGUAGGUGAACCUGCGGAAGGAUCAUUAUCGUAACAAAAUGUGAGGGGCAUGUGAGGGCUGUCGCUGACUCAAUGUCGUGCACGCCCGAGCGUGUCCUCUCACAUAAUAAUCCAUCUCACCCUUUGUGCAUCGCCGCGUGGGCACCCUUUGGGAUCAUCUCGGAGGGGGCUCGCGUUUUCACACAAACCCCCCCCUUUUAAAAGUGUAGAAUGACCUCAUUUAUGCGCUAACCCGCAAUCAAUACAACUUUCAACAACGGAUCUCUUGGCUCUCGCAUCGAUGAAGAACGCAGCGAAAUGCGAUACGUAAUGUGAAUUGCAGAAUUCAGUGAAUCAUCGAAUCUUUGAACGCACCUUGCGCCCCUUGGUAUUCCGAGGGGCACACCCGUUUGAGUGUCGUGAAAACCUCAACCUCCUUGGUUUCUUCUGGAGACCAAAGCAGGCUUGGACUUUGGAGGCCUUUGCUGGCACCUCUCUCUUUUGAAGGUCAGCUCCUCUUAAAUGAAUUAGCAGGGUCCUCUUUGCUGAUCCUCGACGUGUGAUAAGAUGUUUCCAUGUCUUGGUUUCUGGCUCUGUCACUCUUGGGACCCGCUUCUAACCGUCUUGACCUUGCGUCGAGACAAUGUUCGAGCACGUCUCCCAUCUCGGGAAGCUCCCUCGACCCCACGAACCCU